GCCAAAAGUCACACUGGUAGUCCAAACUGCAUGCCAGGCCUGAGAACAAACACUUGGCUGAUGUGAAUUUUUAAAUUUCUUUCAGGCUCUCAGUUCCCUUUCUGCACGAGUGCUAAUGAACCAAAAAAGAUCAAAAUGCAGGCAUGAAGAGGAGAAAAAAAAAACACAAGAAGUGUGGGCAAAAAUAAUUUUCAAACAAUAGAAGUUCACUACCUUUAAACAGAAGGAAAAAACUAAGUGAAAAUGAGAAUUGACACCCACCUAAUGGCCAUAAUGUUGCAUCAAAAUUCUCUAAAUAAGUAUGUUCUGCAGUUGAUGCAAAGAAUAAGCUACUAACAAACUGUCAUGUUAAUAGACAAUAACUGUACACUCGAGACCAAGUACAAAAAUUGUUGCUACUAAUUAUUUUUAAAGAGUGAAAAAAAGGCAGUCUGGAAUGGGCUCAAAACUUGAAACAAAUUACCAUCAGGAAGUAAAUUUCCCAUUUUUGGGAGACCUUUCUUUGAAGAUAUAGCCAUAACAAUUAUGGAAGAAUUGUUCUACAUUUGUAGGAAAAAAAUUUGAUCACAUAUUUUUCAUCAGGAGCAAUGGACUAGAAGACAGCAGAAUAAUAUAUUUCAAAUGCUAAAAGACAAAAAAAUACCUGUAAAGCACAAUUUACUAUUCAGAAAAAAAUUCUUGAAAUUGCAAAGAUGAAAAAACUCACAUAAAGAAAAUUUUGAAAAAAAAUUCACUACCUGAACCACAAUAAUAGAUGUGGUAAAGCAAAUAAUUCAGAGGAAGACAAAAAAAUAGCAGAGUGAGUCUCAGAUAUUUAGAAAGGUAUAGAAAUAGUAAAUAUCUGAGUAAAUAUUAAAGCUAAUUUUCCUCCUAUAUUUUAAAAAUGUAUAUGGCUAUUUAAAAACAAACUCAACUUUGAGUGGGGAUGAAAAUGUAUAUAAACAAAAUUUAUAUGUCAAUUAUAUAUAAAAGAUGGAGGGGAACAGGACUAUAACAUUUCAAAAUUUCCAGUUUUUAUAUGAAAUAUUAUAUUAACUAUUAGCAGAAUCGAAUAUAAUUAAUGUACAUUGCAAUGUCUAGAACAAUUACUAAACACAGAAGGUUAGAUCUAGAAUUUCAAUAGUUUAAAAAAUAUAAUAUCAUGAAAAAAUCCAAUCAUCCACAAAAGACAUGAAAGGGAAAAAGUGAGAAACUAACAAAAAUACAUGGGGAAAAAAACUCAAUAAAUAUUAAAAGCAGCUCA
rnacentral:lncRNA from 1 species